rnacentral:rRNA from 1 species
CCUACGGGUGGCAGCAGUAGGGAAUCUUCCACAAUGGGCGAAAGCCUGAUGGAGCAACGCCGCGUGGGUGAAGAAGGUCUUCGGAUCGUAAAACCCUGUUGUUAGAGAAGAAAGUGCGUGAGAGUAACUGUUCACGUUUCGACGGUAUCUAACCAGGAAGCCACGGCUAACUACGUGCCAGCAGCCGCGGUAAUACGGAGGAUGCGAGCGUUAUCCGGAUUUAUUGGGCUUAAAGGUUGCGUAGGCGGGUUAUCAAGUCAGCGGUAAAAUCGUGGAGCUCAACUCCAUCCAGCCGUUGAAACUGAUGAUCUUGAGUGGGCGAGAGGUAUGCGGAAUGCGUGGUGUAGCGGUGAAAUGCAUAGAUAUCACGAAGAACUCCGAUUGCGAAGGCAGCAUACCGGCGCCCGACUGACGCUGAAGCACGAAAGCGUGGGUAUCGAACAGGAUUAGAUACCCGGGUAGUC